rnacentral:rRNA from 1 species
AUUGAACGCUGGCGGCAGGCUUAACACAUGCAAGUCGAACGGUAGCAGGAGAAAGCUUGCUUUCUUGCUGACGAGUGGCGGACGGGUGAGUAAUGCUUGGGAAUCUGGCUUAUGGAGGGGGAUAACUACGGGAAACUGUAGCUAAUACCGCGUAGAAUCGGAAGAUGAAAGUGCGGGACCGCAAGGCCGCAUGCCAUGAGAUGAGCCCAAGUGGGAUUAGGUAGUUGGUGGGGUAAGGGCCUACCAAGCCUGCGAUCUCUAGCUGGUCUGAGAGGAUGGCCAGCCACACUGGAACUGAGACACGUUCCAGACUCCUACGGGAGGCAGCAGUGGGGAAUAUUGCGCAAUGGGGGGAACCCUGACGCAGCCAUGCCGCGUGAAUGAAGAAGGCCUUCGGGUUGUAAAGUUCUUUCGGUAUUGAGGAAGGUUGAUGUGUUAAUAGUACAUCAAAUUGACGUUAAAUACAGAAGAAGCACCGGCUAACUCCGUG